UACGUAGGGGGCAAGCGUUGUCCGGAUUUAUUGGGCGUAAAGAGCGUGUAGGCGGUUAGGUAGAUCCGUUGUGAAAACUCGAGGCUCAACCUCGAGACGCCGAUGGAAACCAUCUGACUAGAGUCCGGAAGAGGAGAGUGGAAUUCCUGGUGUAGCGGUGAAAUGCGCAGAUAUCAGGAAGAACACCAAUGGCGAAGGCAGCUCUCUGGGACGGUACUGACGCUGAGACGCGAAAGCGUGGGGAGCGAACAGG
rnacentral:rRNA from 1 species